rnacentral:rRNA from 1 species
CCUACGGGAGGCAGCAGUGAGGAAUAUUGGUCAAUGGGCGCGAGCCUGAACCAGCCAAGUAGCGUGAAGGAUGACUGCCCUACGGAUUGUAAACUUCUUUUAUAAAGGAAUAAAGUCAGGCACGCGUGCCUUUUUGUAUGUACUUUAUGAAAAAGGAUCGGCUAACUCCGUGCCAGCAGCCGCGGUAAUACGGAGGAUCCGAGCGUUAUCCGGAUUUAUUGGGUUUAAAGGGAGCGUAGGUGGGUUGUUAAGUCAGAUGUGAAAGGUUGGGGCUCAACCGUAAGAUUGCAAUUGGUACUGGCAGUCUUGAGUACAGGUGAGGUAGGCGGAAUUCGUGGUGUAGCGGUGAAAUGCGUAGAUAUCACGAAGAACUCCGAUUGCGAAGGCAGCUUACUAGACUGCAACUGACAUUGAUGCUCGAAAGUGUGGGUAUCAAACAGGAUUAGAUACCCCUGUAGUC